CUAGGCUGAUCAGGAAAACUUAUUGAUCUGGGCAGCUUCUGAAGGAUGCACAGUCUCCACGCAUUGGAGAGGAAAGGACAAAGUUAGCAAUAAAGACACAGAUACAAAGGCAUAAAAACAUAAGCUGUACUUGGAAAACAGAAGGCAACUAGUAAUAUAAUCUGAUUAGACUAUAGGAGUUAUUUAUAGGGUGAUCGUACAUCUUGGCUUGUCUGAGAUAAUGCUGUUGUCUUGGAUUAUUAACACAUUCCCUUUCACUCCCCCCGGAAGUAUCCCAUUUUAGACAAUAACUGAUAUGGUCACCAUCACAUAUUUUACUUAUCUGAAUUUAAUGUCAACAAAAAUCUCCCAAGUGUUUUCCAUAUGUGCUCUGAAAGAGAACAUUUGUUAAUUGCUCAGGAAAAAAGGAAGCAUUAAAGAUAACAAUAACUAUAGUUUCUAUAUAGUUACUCACAAGAGGAGCUUUCUAAGCCCAAGGAAUCUGCUUGGCUUGUAACAGAUAUUCAAUAAGUAACUAUUUCAUCAACAGAUGUGUGAAUAAAUGAAUAUAUGAAGGAAUAAAUGAAUGAAAGAAGGAAACAAAGGUGAAAACAGUGGUUUCAGUUAAGACUUUUGAAAAAAAAAGUUUUAUUGAUUUCAGAGAGAGGAAGGGAGAGUUAGAAACAUCAAUGAUGAGAAAGAAUCACCGAUUGGCUGCCUCCUGCAUGCUCCCUACUGGGGAUUGUGCCCACAACCCGGGCAUGUGCCCUGAUGGAAAAUCAAACCGUGACCUCUUGGUUCAUGGAUCAACACAACCAGUGAACCACACUGGCCUGCUCAGUUAAGACUUUUAAUGAAACCAAUAAUAUCUCUUUUAGGAAAAAGCCAGUUGGAAAGUCGACAUAUUGUACAUUAUCUUCUCUAGGUACUGUGGACAAAAGGGGCCACAUGCUAACCUGACAAGCUCAAGGAAGGCCUGCAUGGCCGUCUUGCAACUCUAAGACCUAAAACCCAGAGCAUAACCAAAUGCAACUGGGUGCCUGGAGAGAAACCGUAAGUUCCUUCACUGUUAUUGUUACCAUGUUAAUUGUUGACUAUUAACAAUCCUGUACCCACCUAUGUAAAUGAAGCUUGUUGUCUAUCAUUUACUUUUUAUUCAAUUCCAGAGGUUUCCCCACUUUGCUUUCUCCCACCUCCCUAAUCUAUCACCAGUGGAUUUCAUGUAACCCACGUCUCCUCUUUUGAUUGUAAUGUAUAAAACAAGGUGAAAAACCGCCAUUCUCCAGAGCACUGUCCCAACCCACUGAGAUUCUGUUUCCCAGCAAUUGUCAACAGUUUGGCUCAAAUAAACUCACAAAAAUUC